rnacentral:rRNA from 1 species
UGGGGAAUAUUGCACAAUGGGCGCAAGCCUGAUGCAGCCAUGCCGCGUGUAUGAAGAAGGCCUUCGGGUUGUAAAGUACUGUCAGCGGGGAGGAAGGGAGUAAAGUUAAUACCUUUGCUCAUUGACGUUACCCGCAGAAGAAGCACCGGCUAACUCCGUGCCAGCAGCCGCGGUAAUACGGAGGGUGCAAGCGUUAAUCGGAAUUACUGGGCGUAAAGCGCACGCAGGCGGUUUGUUAAGUCAGAUGUGAAAUCCCCGGGCUCAACCUGGGAACUGCAUCUGAUACUGGCAAGCUUGAGUCUCGUAGAGGGGGGUAGAAUUCCAGGUGUAGCGGUGAAAUGCGUAGAGAUCUGGAGGAAUACCGGUGGCGAAGGCGGCCCCCUGGACGAAGACUGACGCUCAGGUGCGAAAGCGUGGGGAGCAAACAGG